UGGAUCCAGGCUCCUUGUACCUAUGGUUCCACACGUCUUAAGGGCUCAGUUCUCUAAAUCCGCCUAGCAGAGAAGUGAAAUUCAGACUGUGGUGAAAAUACACAUGUUCUCAAUUACUUUUGCCCGGUGUUGACACGCAUCAAUUUCAUUUUCAUUCCCUCGUUGAGAACAAUCACGUCUGAUGGGCAAAAGAAAGUGGAACUUCAACUGUUCCUUAGGACAAUACGGACUUGUGUUUUUGAAGAAGCAAAGUGGAAAUGAUUAGGCAGCAGGGACUCUUUGCAGAAAAACGUAAGGAGCAAAGAAAAAUUUCUCAGAAAAGGAGAUUUGAAGCACAAUUGUCAUCAGUUCACAGAAGAAUUUUGAAGUUCUGUUUCCAGAGGCCUCUCUCUGCCUGCCCAGAGACUGUACAUCUUCAGAGAUGAGCAAAACUCUGCACUCUGCAAAAUCAGCACCCUCUGUCUAAUCAAAAGUUAACUUGGCCCAGGUUUUAGUUUCUCUGUAAGUUUUGUUGGAAAGUAAUAUAAUAAAUCUUAUUACAAGAUACAGCUGAUUAUGUAUACAUUAUGUCUUUGGAGAAAUUUGCAUUUUAAGAGGAAGGUCAAGGAUGCCUUAAUUACAAACAUUGCAUUUUUGGUUAUUUAAAUAGUAUCUGGGAAAACGGUGAAGAUAUAUAGGAAGUUAAGAAAGAUACCUGUAUCUACCACGUGUGAAAGAUUAUCUCAGUAAAUAGAAUUGGCUACAUAUUCAUCUAUUAUAAUAAUACCAAAAAAGAAGAUAUAUAUCUUCAAAGCGUCACAAUUUUUGUAGUCAGCAAAAUGAAUGGCAAAGAUAAUGAGAGAAUAAAGAUACAAAAAUGAGUAUUUAAAAAUAGAAUUCCAAUGGGAAAACUGUUAAUUUUAAAAAUUAUAUGUAAAGAUGAGGUUGCUGUUAAGCAUUUUACACCAAUAGAGAUAUCAAUUGGAAUAUUUUAUGUGAAGAAAAGAAAUAAUGACUUAACUUUGUCAAUAAAGAAAGCA
rnacentral:lncRNA from 1 species